rnacentral:rRNA from 1 species
GACGAACGCUGGCGGCGUGCUUAACACAUGCAAGUCGAACGGAAAGGCCCCUUUGGGGGUACUCGAGUGGCGAACGGGUGAGUAACACGUGAGUAACCUGCCCUUGACUUCGGGAUAACUUCAGGAAACUGGGGCUAAUACCGGAUAGGAAUCCUUGCUGCAUGGUGGGGGUUGGAAAGCUUCGGCGGGUUUGGAUGGACUCGCGGCUUAUCAGCUUGUUGGUGGGGUAGUGGCUUACCAAGGCUUUGACGGGUAGCCGGCCUGAGAGGGCGACCGGCCACAUUGGGACUGAGAUACGGCCCAGACUCCUACGGGAGGCAGCAGUGGGGAAUAUUGCACAAUGGGCGGAAGCCUGAUGCAGCAACGCCGCGUGCGGGAUGACGGCCUUCGGGUUGUAAACCGCUUUCAGCAGGGGCGAAGCUUGUGGUGACGGUACCUGCAGAAGAAGCACCGGCUAACUACGUG